rnacentral:piRNA from 1 species
UGNGCAGUUACUCAGGCCUGGUGAUGUGA